rnacentral:hammerhead_ribozyme from 1 species
GCUGAGGAGUCCCACAAUAGGACGAAACGACCGUCC